AGCAGCCGCGGUAAUUCCAGCUCCAAUAGCGUAUAUUAAAGUUGUUGCAGUUAAAAAGCUCGUAGUUGAAUUUCGGGGUUAGUAAGUUGGUCAUGCCUCCGGUAUGUACUGGCUUUACUGAUUCCUCCUUCUUGAUGAACUGUAAUGUCAUUAAUUUGGUGUUGCAGGGAAUCAGGACUGUUACUUUGAAAAAUUAGAGUGUUUAAAGCAGGCAUACGCUUGAAUACAUUAGCAUGGAAUAAUGAAAUAGGACGUUUGAUCCUAUUUUGUUGGUUUCUAGGAUUGACGUAAUGAUUAAUAGGGAUAGUUGGGGGCAUUAGUAUUCAAUUGUCAGAGGUGAAAUUCUUGGAUUUAUUGAAGACUAACUACUGCGAAAGCAUUUGCCAAGGAUGUUUUCAUUAAUCAAGAACGAAAGUUAGGGGAUCGAAGACGAUCAGAUACCGUCGUAGUCUUAACCAUAAACUAUGCCGACUAGGGAUCGGAUGAUGUUAUUUUUAAUGACCCAUUCGGCGCCUUAAC
rnacentral:rRNA from 1 species